UGAACGCUGGCGGCGUGCCUACUACAUGCACGUCGAGCGAACAGACGAGGAGCUUGCUCCUUCGACGUUAGCGGCGGACGGGUGAGUAACACGUAGGUAACCUACCUAUAAGACUGGGAUAACUUCGGGAAACCGGAGCUAAUACCGGAUAAUAUUUCGAACCGCAUGGUUCGAUAGUGAAAGAUGGCUUUGCUAUCACUUAUAGAUGGACCUGCGCCGUAUUAGCUAGUUGGUAAGGUAACGGCUUACCAAGGCAACGAUACGUAGCCGACCUGAGAGGGUGAUCGGCCACACUGGAACUGAGACACGGUCCAGACUCCUACGGGAGGCAGCAGUAGGGAAUCUUCCGCAAUGGGCGAAAGCCUGACGGAGCAACGCCGCGUGAGUGAUGAAGGUCUUCGGAUCGUAAAACUCUGUUAUUAGGGAAGAACAAACGUGUAAGUAACUGUGCACGUCUUGACGGUACCUAAUCAGAAAGCCACGGCUAACUACGUG
rnacentral:rRNA from 1 species